rnacentral:rRNA from 1 species
GAGUAAAGAUUUCGGUCGCUUUGGGAGGAGCUCGCUUACUAUCAGCUUGUUGGUAGGGUAAUGGCCUACCAAGGCUAUGACGGUUAGGGGGUGUGAGAGCAUGACCCCCAGCAUUGGCACUGAAACACUGGCCAAACACCUACGGGUGGCUGCAGUCGAGAAUCUUCCACAAUGGGGGAAACCCUGAUGGAGCGAUGCUGCGUGCGGGAUGAAGGCCUUCGGGUUGUAAACCGCUUUUGUAGGGGACGAAAUUUUUGACGGUACCCUUUCGAAUAAGAGGUUGCUAACUCUGUGCCAGCAGCAGCGGUAAUACAGAGACCUCAAGCGUUAUCCGGAUUUACUGGGCGUAAAGCGUCUGUAGGGGGUUUAUUAAGUUCCAAGUAAAAUUUCAAGGCUCAACUUUGAAUUCGCUUGGAAAACUAAUAAACUGGAGUCUAGCAGAGGUGCAUGGAACUUGUGGUGUAGGAGUGAAAUCCGUUGAUAUCACAAGGAACACCAAAGGCGAAGGCAUUGCACUGGGCUAGCACUGACCCUGAGAGACGAGAGCGUGGGGAGCAAAACGGAUUAGAUACCCGUGUAGUCCACGCCCUAAACGAUGAAUGCUAAAUGUUCGGGGAUUCGACCCCCUGGGUGUUACAGCUAACGCGUUAAGCAUUCCGCCUGGGAAGUACGGCCGCAAGGCUAAAACUCAAAGGAAUAGACGGGGAUCCGCACAAGCGGUGGAGCGUCUGGUUUAAUUCGACAGUAAGCGUGGUACCUCACCAGGGUUUGACAUCCCUUGACAGCCUUGGAAACAAGGUUUCCUUCGGGCAAGGUGACAGGUGCUGCAUGGUCGUCGUCAGUUCGUGCCGUGAGGUGUUCCGUUAAGUCGGGAAACGAACGAAACCCCUAUUGCAUGUUACAAUUUCUCAUGCAAGACUGCCCGGAUAUACUGGGAGGAAGGUGGGGAUGACGUCAGAUCUGCAUGGUCCUUAUACCCUGGGCGACACAGGCGCUACAAUGGCAGAGACAAAGGGUUGCAAAACCGCAAGGUGAAGCUAAUCCCAAAAACUUUGUCUGAGUUCGGAUUGAAGGCUGCAAUUCGCCUUCAUGAAGCUGGAAUCGCUAGUAAUCGUGAAUCAGCCACGUCACGGUGAAUAUGUUCCCGGAUCUUGUACUCACCGCCCGUCACACCAAGAGAGUUGGUAGCUCCCGA